rnacentral:pre_miRNA from 1 species
CCCUUAACUAUUAAAAGUUUCGUUUUGGUCCCUUAACUUAUUUUUUGGUUUCGUUUUGGUCCCUUAACUCUUCCUCCGUCAACCACUUUGGUCCUUUAUGUUAGGAUGAAUGUAUUAGAGUUAAGGACCAAAACGAAAUCAAAAAAUAAGUUAAGUGACCAAAACGAAACCAAAAAAUAAGUUAAGGGACCAAAACGAAACUUUUAAUAGUUAAGGGACCAAAACAAAACCAAAAAAUAAAUUAAGGGACCAAAACAAAACUUUUAAUAGUUAAGGGA